GCACGAUUAUCUUAUAGGUGAUAUUUUUGAAAAUCAAAUGUUUGCUGUUUUAUGAAUUUUACGACUAAUUACUACCUUGAGUAGUUUUUUUAGAGCCAUAUGGUUGCAAAUUACAAGAUGCCAUAUACAUUUUACAACUUAAUAUAUCACUUCAAACCUUACCUAAGUUAUCAUGUGUUCAUAUUGGAAAUGCUAGCCUUGUUUUUUUAAUAACCAUA
rnacentral:lncRNA from 1 species